UCAUCCUGAACCUGCCAGCGAGGUGGUGGUACGAAAAGCCAAAACUGUGUAAAAAACAUGUCUGCAGUCCACACUCUAAAGAGCUUACACAGGACCACUUCCUGAUCCCAACGUCUUGGAAUUGGAAGAAAACCUACGCUAGCUGAAAGGGGUUCAAGCAGAAGACGGCUGUCCUGUCUAAACAUUUUCAGGUCUUUAUUUGAGGCCGUGGUCACGAUGCGUGUUAGGACCACGACUCCUUUGGGGAAGUUUCCGCCUGGAUCAACAGUGAUCCUUCUUCAAUGGAGGUCGCACUAUGGCUAUAAGGGAGCAAAGGUUCCCUCCGCUUUUUGCAGCCCGGCUUCCAUUAGCAAUCUGUUAGCCGCAGUCCGCUGAGAGGGAUGCCGGCCUGAAGCGGCAGCUCCUGGGAGAGCGCAGAAAUACAAAGCCACACUCGCUCUCAGGCUCAGGGCACAGAGCUUGUUUGAUGAAAAAGAACAAUUAAGGGAGAAAUGAGGGAGAAUCAUCGGGGGAAAUGGUUGAUGAAGACUUUAUUGAUUAGAACGGCUCCACUGAUCCAGCUCUCAUUGUAGCAAUUACCACUAGCUGCUAGCGAAAGUGGGGGGCCUCACGGUGCAGGGGCCUAUCGGAAGACAGUGAUGCUGCAGACGUAAAACCAAGGAAGCAUUUGUAGCCACACAGCCACGCUAUAUCCUAAAAGAAUUAGAGGGUAGAAGAAGACGUCAGCAUUGCAAAACAAGUGUAGCUAGGUUUCUGCUUUAUAACAACAUAAAUAAAUAUAUUUAUUUGCUGAAACAUACACUGCACUACAUACCUGCAGAAUAAGACAAAGUCUUCCUCACUUAUAUUUUUGUCUCUCCUUUACAUACACACACAAACAUCAAUGACUAAUUCAAAUCCCUGUGAAUGGAGCAAUAAAAUCUAAUAGGGGCGCAUCUGAGCAAACAGAGACCUACCAGAGAGCUCGCUCGUUGUUCGUUUGUUUGCUCAGCUCAGACAGCAUGUUAUUUGUAUUUAAAUGCCACUGAUGCCUGCUCUCAGACCGACACUGACAAUGCGGAGACGGCAGACACUUCCAUGGGGGACUGUUGAUCUGCUUCCCAAAACGCAGAAACAUGUUCUAUGGUUACAGAUUACCAGUACUGGAGCAGGAAGAUCUUUGGAAGAAGGAACAUGUUGCUGCCUAUUGUGUAGAGAGAUUUUGCACUGCAAGGCAUGUAAAUAUGUACAAUUACAACAGGA